rnacentral:misc_RNA from 1 species
UGCCUGUUCGAGCGUCAUAAUGACCACUCAAGCCUGGCUUGGUGUUGGGGCACGCGGCUCUGCGGCCCCUAAAAGCAGUGGCGGCGCACCUGGCUCUAAGCGUAGUAAUCUAUCUCGCUACAGGGUUCCGGUGGAGGCUUGCCAGAAACCUUAAUCUCACGGUUGACCUCGGAUCAGGUAGGGAUACCCGCUGAACUUAA